GAUGAACGCUGGCGGCGUGCCUAAUACAUGCAAGUCGAGCGAACAGACGAGGAGCUUGCUCCUCUGACGUUAGCGGCGGACGGGUGAGUAACACGUGGAUAACCUACCUAUAAGACUGGGAUAACUUCGGGAAACCGGAUCUAAUACCGGAUAAUAUAUUGAACCGCAUGGUUCAAUAGUGAAAGACGGUUUUGCUGUCUCUUAUAGAUGUAUCCGCGCCGCAUUAGCUAGUUGGUAAGGUAACGGCUUACCAAGGCAACGAUGCGUAGCCGACCUGAGAGGGUGAUCGGCCACACUGGAACUGAGACACGGUCCAGACGCCUACGGGAGGCAGCAGUAGGGAAUCUUCCGCAAUGGGCGAAAGCCUGACGGAGCAACGCCGCGUGAGUGAUGAAGGUCUUCGGAUCGUAAAACUCUGUUAUUAGGGAAGAACAAAUGUGUAAGUAACUAUGCACGUCUUGACGGUAACUAAUCAGAAAGCCACGGCUAACUACGUG
rnacentral:rRNA from 1 species